UGCAUUCACAACUGUAAGCCGCUCUGGAUAAGAGCGUCUGCUAAAUUACUAAAA
rfam:Salmo salar isolate Sally breed double haploid chromosome ssa13, whole genome shotgun sequence.